rnacentral:rRNA from 1 species
AGCGUAGGUGGAUAUUUAAGUGGGAUGUGAAAUACUCGGGCUUAACCUUGGGGCUGCAUUUGAUACGUGUAGACUAGAGUGUGAGAGAGGGUUGUGGAAUUCCCAGUGUAGAGGUGAAAUUCGUAGAUAUUGGGAAGAACACCGGUGGCGAAGGCGGCAACCUGGCUCAUUACUGACGCUGAGGCGCGAAAGCGUGGGGAGCAAACAGGAUUAGAUACCCCUGUA